GGGCUCUAUUUGCCUUGUUCAAGUAUAAAUAAGAACUGUUUAUUUUAGAGAUAGAUAUAAAUUCAAGUAUAAACAAGAAGUAGACCAAUUUUACAUUUGCAUGAAAAUUAGGUUGUUUUCGGGAAUAAUAAAAAUAGUGUUUAAAUAGAUAAGAUGAAAUAAAAAGAAUAGUGCGUAGUUAAUUAUAAAUAGAAAAUAAUAAUAUUAUCCCCUCUAAUUUUAAAUUUAUAAUUUUAACUUUUAAAAUUUAAAUUCAAAAUUAAAAUUUAAAAUUUAAAAUCUAAAUUCUUUAAAUUUAAAAUUUUAGAAUUUUAAAUUUCAAAUUUUGGAUUCAAAACCAAAUUUAAAUUUAAAAAAUAUAAAAUAAAAAAUUUUAAAUUUGGAAAAUUUUAAAAUAUCAAAAUUAAAAUUUAAACUUUAAAAUUUAGAAUUUUAAAUUAUAAAUUUUAAUUUUGAGAUUACAAAUUAUAAAUUAAUUUAAAAUUUAAAAUUCUCUCUCUCUCUCUCUCUCUCUCUCUCUCUCUCUCUCUCUCUCUCUCU
rnacentral:lncRNA from 1 species